AAUCUAACAAUACUAAAAGGUUAAUAUACUUAACGUAGAGGCAUGCCACCUCGGAUUAAAAAAUCAACCAAUAAAAAUAAACUAAAGUGCCACGUCAUCGUGUUAUUCCUUCUCGAUGUUGGAGAUGGCCAUGCCUCUUCAGAUCACACCGUCUCCGAAAACGCCUCUUCAACGUUUCAGAUUUUUACCACUAAUCCUCUCAUUUAUUGAUGAUUUCUCUCCAGUCUCCGCAAAUGUAUAAAAAUCCUUUCCACAAUCCUAUUUGGAGACAUCUUCGGCUUCCAUGAUUGGGAAGGACUUUGGCUUGGUGAUUUUUGUUUUCAAGCCAUGGUUGGAAGAUCUACAGGAUACGGGGUGAACGGGAGGAUGAAAUCGAAUUUCUGAGUUCGUGGAAAUCUUACCAGAGAUGCGUUAGAUUGAAUCAAUAAUAUUGUUUCCUCCAUGGGUGAAUCCAAUCCGGGUCUUUUGUUCUGAAAAGCAACAAAGUCCCGGCUCUUGCGUAUUCUUACGUGUCUUCUCAAAAAGAUUAUCCAGAUUAUGUUGUAGAUCUCUAAUUGUUAGAUCCAAUGGUACUGUGCAACAUGUGAAACCAAUUGUAGUUCUAUAUUUGCUAUUUGUAUAUAUUUGAUUCAUCAAUUGUUUUUGAGUAAAGCUAAAUCGUAGCUUGAACAGUUUGUAUUUUGGACUUCAGGUGCUAACCAAUCAGUAUAUGCUCCAAACCCAUCUUAAUCUUGGGAAGAUAUUAUACGUAGCAUAACUUUCCUAAAUGUAAAACUCUUUUUAUUGAACUUCUAUUCUCAGUCUGGAAAUCAUUAUGGUUUUACACUUAAUACAGUUCUAAAACUCCAUGGUUUGUUAGGAGAAGCUUCUUUAUAUAUGCAGUUUACACUGCUUGGGCCAAACCAUUUAAAUAUGGUGAAUAAGACAUUGUCAUCAACCAUAACCACCUUUUUUGUAGGUAUGUCGUUUCUUCAGAAUUUGGUUCACAGAAGAAAGGUGCAUGCUUGGGUUCUCACUGAUCAUCCAAUAUUGCUGAAUAGAGUUUUAAUCUAGGAAGCAAUGGUACAAUAAAAAAAACUCUUCCAACAGCCUCCACGGGGAUAACAAAAGUCUCAAUAACAAGAUAUGAGAAAUCACAAAGCAUACAAAAGACGAAGUUCGAGGAUGAUGAAAGAAGCAAGAAGAGCUGAUCACAUUUUGAGGACAUGAACAACAUUUUGUAUGAGUUUCCACUGAGGUCAGGCUACCCGCAGUGGACAGAACUAUGACAUCCAAAAAGCAAUGAAAAUAGUCUCUGUAGAGUGUAAGAAGGGGCAAGUGAUUGAUGUGCCAGUGAUGGAAGGAGUAGGGAUUCCAUAGCCGAG